rnacentral:lncRNA from 1 species
UGCAGUGACAUCGAACAAGUCGAUAGGCUUCCAUCAGUACGCACUUCCGUACAUCUUUAUUCAUCAUGAAUGCUACGUUAACAUGAACUACGUUUCUUCUUUUGUAACAAACAGUUUUGUACACUGUUCGAUUAUAAUCCAACAUACAUGCGAACUCGUGUUGUCAACUUCCUUGAAGCUCCACUGGAAUUACUGCUCUGCAGUCCCAAACCUUGAUGAAAGAAACAAUACAACACAUAACAAAGGAUUGAUCAAAAGGAAUUUCUAUGAUAAAAAGCAGGAAAAUGUAAUGUUUAAGAAUCCGGACCAUCUACUCUAAUUAAAACGUGGGGGUCAACAAUAAUACCUAUGCUGGAAGGGAGUUUUACCUGUUUUUUCCGAUCACCAGUCCAUAAUGCCAGCAGCUCUGCCAUGAAAAUGUAACAGAGCUUUGCUGUAAAAUAGCAACAAGCGAAGAACUUCAUCAGUAAUUCAGUAUUUCUAUUACAGGAAGAGCAAGCAAAAUAUAAUGGAGAGAUAAAGAACUUUCAGAAAGCUAUAGACUUUUCUUUUAGUUUCUUUUCUUCUUUUUCAGGAAGAAAAUGAGUUUUCCCAUUCAUUGCUUCCUUGAGAUUGGAAAUGAAUAUAAACGACUUCAGAGAAGCCAUCAAGCCAGCUAAAAAAUAGACAGAUACCAACAGAUAAAAAUCAAAAUCAGCAACGAGAGAGAUUAAAUGUAACAGGCAUUCUUCAAAAGUAUAAGAUGAGAAUCCAAGAUCUUUGAACAAGCUAGCCUUGCCUUUAUAUUGGAAAACCUUUUGAUUAUGUUACCUUAGUAAUCUCCUGACACGGAUUGUAUCACAUGCACAUCGGUGAUCAAAACAUCAGAUAGUUUAUCAAGAUCUAACGAAAGCAGAUCAUCAUCCGACAAUCAAGCGGAUUACGUCCCAAAGCAUUGAAAUGAGGAGAGAAAGAAAGAACAAUAAAAUAUAUUAAAUAAAGAACAUCAAAUAGUUUAGUUGUUGGUUUGCUGUACCUGGCUGCCAUUGCCCCGACACAGCCUCGUCACGGAUGAAACUGAUGUGAGGCAACAACUUUCGGUUAGUCUUCUGUUUCCGCGGAGAAUCAGAAUCUAAGAUGGAGGACAUGGAAGGAUGUUUUCCAGUUCUCAGCUUCUUCAUCUCAUCAAGGAUGGACGCAAGGUUAAGUGGACAGAGAAGGAUUUCUUUUCUGAGGAGAAGGAUGGG